rnacentral:tRNA from 2 species
GGUGGCGUAGCUCAAUUGGAUAGAGCAACGGCCUUCUAAGCCGUAGGUUGCAGGUUCGAUUCCUGCCGCCAUCACCA